UACGGAGGGUGCGAGCGUUGUCCGGAUUCAUUGGGCGUAAAGAGCUCGUAGGCGGCUGCUCAAGUCGAAUGUGAAAACUCGAGGCUCAACCUCGAGCCUGCAUUAGAUACUGGGCGGCUAGAGUCUGGUAGGGGGAUCUGGAAUUCCUGGUGUAGCGGUGGAAUGCGCAGAUAUCAGGAGGAACACCGGUGGCGAAGGCGGGAUCCUGGGCCAGUACUGACGCUGAGGAGCGAAAGCGUGGGGAGCAAACAGG
rnacentral:rRNA from 1 species